CAGAGAAGGAGAGGAGCAGGUCGUCGUCUCUGCGGGCUCUGGUGAAGAACCUGCUGGUGCAGAUGGCGGCAGACAUGCGCACACGGCACGAGACCACCGGCUCAGCCAUGCUGCUCGAGGAGAUCGCGAGCCAGGAAAAAGGAUAAAGAACUGCCACUGAAGGUGGUGCAGAUGUCAGCGGCCCAGAGUGGAGCUGUGCAACGAUCACGCUCACACGUGCCUGCUCUCUAAAGCGCAACAGCUCACGGACCACAUCUCCAGGGGGCGCCACAGCGGAUCAUCCGUCUCCACAACCCC